UACGGGGGGAGCAAGCGUUGUUCGGAUUCACUGGGCGUAAAGGGCACGUAGGCGGCUUGGCAAAUCGGUCGUGGAAUCCCGACGCUUACCGUCGGAACGGCGGCCGAAAAUACCGAGCUCGAGGGCGUGAGGGGUCACUGGAACUCCUGGUGAAGCGGUGAAAUGCGUAGAUAUCUGGAAGAACACCAAUGGCGAAGGCAAUGUUCUGGCUCGUUUCUGACGCUCAGGUGCGAAAGCCAGGGGAGCAAACGGG
rnacentral:rRNA from 1 species